rnacentral:rRNA from 1 species
AGUGAGGAAUAUUGGUCAAUGGACGCAAGUCUGAACCAGCCAUGUCGCGUGAAGGAAGACGGUUCUAUGGAUUGUAAACUUCUUUUAUACGGGAAUAAUGGUCACUACGUGUAGUGAUUUGAAGGUACCGUAUGAAUAAGCACCGGCUAACUCCGUGCCAGCAGCCGCGGUAAUACGGAGGGUGCGAGCGUUAUCCGGAUUUAUUGGGUUUAAAGGGUGCGUAGGCGGACUAAUAAGUCAGUGGUGAAAUCUUGCAGCUUAACUGUAAAACUGCCAUUGAUACUGUUAGUCUUGAAUUUAGUUGAGGUAGGCGGAAUGUGUUGUGUAGCGGUGAAAUGCAUAGAUAUAACACAGAACACCGAUUGCGAAGGCAGCUUACUAAGCUAUAAUUGACGCUGAUGCACGAAAGCGUGGGUAGCGAA